rnacentral:rRNA from 1 species
GACGAACGCUGGCGGCGUGCUUAACACAUGCAAGUCGAACGGAAAGGCCCUGCUUGCAGGGUGCUCGAGUGGCGAACGGGUGAGUAACACGUGGGUGAUCUGCCCCUUACUUUGGGAUAAGCCUGGGAAACUGGGUCUAAUACUGGAUAGGACCAUGCUGUAGGUGGUGUGGUGGAAAGAUUAGUUUCGGUAAGGGAUGAGCUCGCGGCCUAUCAGCUUGUUGGUGGGGUAAUGGCCUACCAAGGCGUCGACGGGUAGCCGGCCUGAGAGGGUGGACGGCCACAUUGUGACUGUGAUACGGCCCAGACUCCUACGGGAGGCAGCAGUGGGGAAUAUUGCACAAUGGGCGCAAGCCUGAUGCAGCGACGCCGCGUGGGGGAUGACGGCCUUCGGGUUGUAAACUCCUUUCAGCCAUGACGAAGCCCUUGUGGUGACGGUAGUGGUAGAAGAAGCACCGGCUAACUACGUG